rnacentral:rRNA from 1 species
CCAAUAGCGUAUAUUAAAGUUGUUGCAGUUAAAAAGCUCGUAGUUGAAUUUCGGGGUCAGUAGGUUGGUCGUGCCACUGGUAUGCACUGGUCUCACUGAUUCCUCCUUCCUGAUGAACCGUAAUGCCAUUAAUUUGGUGUUGCGGGGAAUCUGGACUGUUACUUUGAAAAAAUUAGAGUGUUUAAAGCAGGCUAACGCUUGAAUACAUUAGCAUGGAAUAAUGAAAUAGGACGAUCGAUCCUAUUUUGUUGGUUUCUAGGAUUGACGUAAUGAUUAAUAGGGAUAGUUGGGGGCAUUAGUAUUCAAUUGUCAGAGGUGAAAUUCUUUGAUUUAUUGAAGACUAACUACUGCGAAAGCAUUUGCCAAGGAUGUUUUCAUUAAUCAAGAACGAAAGUUAGGGGAUCGAAGACGAUCAGAUACCGUCGUAGUCUUAACCAUAAACUAUGCCGACUAGGGAUCGGAUGAUGUUAAUUUUUUAAUGACUCAUUCGGCGCCUUACG